UAGAAGAAACCUAAGACAUAGAAUGGAAAACAUCAGCUUUACAGAGGAAAGAAAGGACAAGAGCUGGGAACUCGGACAAUCAGGCUUCAUUAGAUGCCAGGACUGGCACACCAAAUCCACUGCAAAAUCAAGAAGAUGCAAGAUUAUUGCACUCUCAAAAUGUCAGAGUUUAAUUACUGAUCAUGGGACCCAGAGGAGCCAGGAAUUCAAAAGAAUUCAAAGGUGUUAAAGAAGAAAGGCAAACUACAAGCUAAGUGCUGAAACUAUCAAGAUGGACAAAAGUAUGUCAUAGAACUGGGUCAAUGAAUAAUGCACGACAGAAAGAAGAUGGUGAAAUGGAUAAGAAGGUGUUCAAAAUACAGGAAAAGUGAGGUGGAUCUGGCAAAGGCCAGAUCCCUGCAAAGGCCAUCUGCUGAAAGCCAGGACAGCACAGUCUUCCUACAGAGAUCUGAACAGAAACUGACAAAAGAAGUCCAAAGGCAAGUAGAAGGAGUCACAGCCUCUUCCCAGGAUCCUGGAAUUGCUCCAUGUCUACCUCCUAAACCUCCCCCUAUGCAGACACACACAUUCACACACACUACAUUUGACCCUCUCAUCUACCAGAGACAUACAGAAUUAUCUCCAACAAUCACUGCAAAAGUUAGAGCUCCAAGAGUUUCCCUCUAUGUUUUGUUUGUAGACAUAGAUAUUCACAACAAAAUGCACUUCUACAACAAAGAAACUCAUCGUUAUAAACUUAAGUGUCACAGGAGCUGGGCAAUUGCUUACAUCAGAUUAUUUUUAUGAUAACUGAAGGAGAUGGUUGAGUGUACAGUUUGAGUUCUUCUUCCUGGUUGGACAGAUUACAGUUCUAUUCCUAGAACUUUUCUGCAAAAGAACAAAGGUACAGAAUUCUCAUUUUUGUUCCUGAUAUUAAUAAUACUAUUCUCUGCUUUAAACAAACCUCAUCCUUCAAGGUCUCUCAAAUAUUUCAUCUUCAAUGCAGUUUUCCUUAAAGCCA
rnacentral:lncRNA from 1 species